UACAUCUCCAAUGCAAGCAGAUACCACAC
rnacentral:piRNA from 1 species